ACCUACUGUUUAAUUUUGAGGGUUCGUUUUUACGAAUACUCAAAAUUAGCACUUUUAGCAACAGAAUAAACUGAACGCAUGUGAAGUUUGUUUGUUGGCGCUGUGCGUUAGCACUUUGAAAACUGCAUAUAUAUCUAGGGAUAUGACAUCUAAUUUGUAAUAUAUAAGGCUGAUAACUUUUGAAAAUUAUCCAAAUUGAUAGCUUCUAAUCUAUAUAACCUUUUUAACUGGUCAA
rnacentral:misc_RNA from 1 species